AUACGAAGGUGGCAAGCGUUGUUCGGAAUCACUGGGCUUAAAGCGCACGCAGGUGGAAUGGCAAGUGUCUUGUGAAGGCCCCCGGCUUAACCGGGGAAUUGCUCGGCAAACUGCCAUUCUUGAGGUAAAUAGGGGUGCAUGGAACUCUUGGUGGAGCGGUGGAAUGCGUAGAUAUCAAGAGGAACGCCGAUGGUGAAGACAGUGCACUGGAUUUAUCCUGACACUGAGGUGCGAAAGCGUGGGUAGCGAACGGGAUUAGAUACCCCGGUAGUCCACGCCGUAAACGAUGUCUACUAGGUUGUAGUCGUUCUGACGCGAUUACAGCCGAAGCAAAAGUGUUAAGUAGACCGCCUGGGGAGUACGGCCGCAAGGCUAAA
rnacentral:rRNA from 1 species